GCCUGGGUGGCUCAGGUGGUUAAGCAUCUGACUUCAGCUCAGGUCAUGAUCUUGCAGUUCGUGGGUUUGAGCCCCAUGUCGGGCU
rnacentral:tRNA from 1 species